UAGGGAAUCUUCGGCAAUGGACGAAAGUCUGACCGAGCAACGCCGCGUGAGUGAAGAAGGUUUUCGGAUCGUAAAACUCUGUUGGUAGAGAAGAACGUUGGUGAGAGUGGAAAGCUCAUCAAGUGACGGUAACUACCCAGAAAGGGACGGCUAACUACGUGCCAGCAGCCGCGGUAAUACGUAGGUCCCGAGCGUUGUCCGGAUUUAUUGGGCGUAAAGCGAGCGCAGGUGGUUUAUUAAGUCUGGUGUAAAAGGCAGUGGCUCAACCAUUGUAUGCAUUGGAAACCGGUAGACUUGAGUGCAGGAGAGGAGAGUGGAAUUCCAUGUGUAGCGGUGAAAUGCGUAGAUAUAUGGAGGAACACCGGUGGCGAAAGCGGCUCUCUGGCCUGUAACUGACACUGAGGCUCGAAAGCGUGGGGAGCAAACAGGAUUAGAUACCCUGGUAGUCCACGCCGUAAACGAUGAGUGCUAGAUGUAGGGAGCUAUAAGUUCUCUGUAUCGCAGCUAACGCAAUAAGCACUCCGCCUGGGGAGUACGACCGCAAGGUUGAAAC
rnacentral:rRNA from 1 species